UUUUGAUCUGAGUGCCAUUCCAAGCCAGAGGAGGGUUUCAGCACAGGCGCUGGGAGCUGACGCCCGUUUGCUGCUGGCAUCUCUCAGCUGAGCCUGUUUAAAGAAGGAAAUAAAAUUACACUGAAAUUUGAAAACUGGAAUAGAGCAAGAAAACAAGGAAGCCAAGAAUAGACGUAACAAAGACAAAUCCUAUUUCCUUGCUGUGGAACAGUGACAGGCACCAGCUGAUUUAUGUUCUUGAGCUCUGACAACCACACAAAGACAAACUAAUGGCUGACAGGUCAAUUGAUCGGGUUUCCAACAGACCUGACUCAUUGGAAAAGACCCUGAUGCUGGGAAAGAUUGAAGGCAGGAGGAGAAGAGGAUGACAGAAGAUGAGAUGGUUGGAUGGCAUCACCGACUCAAUGGACAUGAGUUUGAGCAAGUUCUGGGAGUUGGUGAUGGACAGGGAAGCCUGGCGUGCUGCAGUUGGACAAAACUGAGCAAUUGAACUGAACUGAAACUUUACAGUAAGUUAACAGUAUAAUACUACUAUCUCAUCAUCGACUUGAUGGACAUGGGUUUGGGUGGACUCCGGGAGUUGGUGAUGGACAGGGAGGCCUGGCAUGCUGCAAUUCAUGGGGUCACAAAGAGUCAGACACGACUGAGCAACUG
ensembl:lncRNA